rnacentral:tRNA from 1 species
UGGCUCAGUUGGUAGAGCAUGGUGUGUGUCACGCCAGGGUUGUGGGUUCAAUUCCCAC